AAGGAGAAGCAGUUAGAGGAGAUCCACUCACAGGAUUCUACGUUGUUGAUUUGUGUGUGGAAGUAUCGUGGGUUUUGCCUGCCUCCAUUGUUGCUCGUCUGCUGAAAUAACCUCGGCCGCGGACAGCCCCGUGAUGGUCAGCCCUCCAAGUGUGCUCGUCUUAGCAAGGCCUUCCUCUCCCAGACGACUAAAACGGUAUGUCGUGGUGGAAGAGUUGGUAGCCCUGCACAUGGCCAUCCGAGAAUUACGUCACAGGUGGGCACAAGCCGCAGUCAUUCGCCGGCGCCUCCCUGCAGUCUCAGGUAGCAGCGGCGAUGCGUAGUGCUGUUGCUUUGUACUGAGUGAGCGUGAAAGAACCCUCGUGACGAUAUAUGGUGAUGGACGUGUGGGCCUUUACGUUGUGGAAACAGAAGUUGAGGGGCGGGGAACACUUAAUGGGUGGAUGACCACCAUCAGGGCCGCCAUUCCACCGCAUUCAUGGCCACCCUACCCGCGCUCAUCCAGUCACGUCCCCUUAGUGCAGCGCCCCUCAUCUGUAUGUAUGCUGAAGAGGCACGGAAAAAUGAACACUCAUGUCUCUGUAAAAUAUUGUGCGCCAUAAAGUCUCUUGUCCUCUA